rnacentral:rRNA from 1 species
UGGGGAAUAUUGCACAAUGGGCGCAAGCCUGAUGCAGCAACGCCGCGUGAGGGACGACGGCCUUCGGGUUGUAAACCUCUUUUAGUAGGGAAGAAGCGAAAGUGACGGUACCUGCAGAAAAAGCACCGGCUAACUACGUGCCAGCAGCCGCGGUAGUACGUAGGGUGCGAGCGUUGUCCGGAAUUAUUGGGCGUAAAGAGCUCGUAGGCGGUCUGUCGCGUCUGCUGUGAAAACCCGAGGCUCAACCUCGGGCCUGCAGUGGGUACGGGCAGACUAGAGUGCGGUAGGGGGAGAAUGGAAUUCCUGGGUGUAGCGGUGGAAUGCGCAGAUAUCAGGAGGAACACCGAUGGCGAAGGCAGUUCUCUGGGCCGUAACUGACGCUGAGGAGCGAAAGCGUGGGGAGCGAACAGGAUUAGAUACCCUGGUAGUCCACGCCGUAAAACGUUGGGCGCUAGAUGUGGGGGACCAUUCCACGGGUUUCCGUGUCGGCAGCUAACGCAUUAA